AAAUCAAUGAAGAAAACAUUUGUGGUCAGAGAAUAUCUGUUACAUACCUCCCAGAUUGAAAUAUAAAAGACUGUAAAAAAUAUUGUAACAAGCGCUGAACUCUAGAACGACGUACUGGGUAUAAGAUUGUGCGAAAACAGUUCUGAAUAUUGCCAAGCAUUAAAAAGGAAUGUGUAAAAUUGUCAGUGGAUCAUGGGAGUUGUAGUCUUCAG